GACGAACGCUGGCGGCGUGCCUAAUACAUGCAAGUCGAGCGAAGUUUUUCUGGUGCUUGCACUAGAAAAACUUAGCGGCGAACGGGUGAGUAACACGUAAAGAACCUGCCUCAUAGACUGGGACAACUAUUGGAAACGAUAGCUAAUACCGGAUAACAGUAUUUCUCGCAUGAGAGAUAUUUAAAAGUUUGUUAUGCUAACACUAUGAGAUGGCUUUGCGGUGCAUUAGCUAGUUGGUGGGGUAAAGGCCCACCAAGGCGACGAUGCAUAGCCGACCUGAGAGGGUGAUCGGCCACACUGGGACUGAGAAACGGCCCAGACUCCUACGGGAGGCAGCAGUAGGGAAUCUUCCGCAAUGGGCGAAAGCCUGACGGAGCAACGCCGCGUGAGUGAAGAAGGAUUUCGGUUCGUAAAGCUCUGUUGUUAGGGAAGAAUGGAUAUGUAGUAACUAUACAUGUAAGAGACGGUACCUAACCAGAAAGCCACGGCUAACUACGUG
rnacentral:rRNA from 1 species